CUAGCAAAACAGAUUAUCGCUACGCCUUAGGGUGGAGAGGAAAGUCCGGGCAACUUAAGCAGCAUACUUCCUAACGGGAAGGGUUUCCAUUAUAAUGAUAGAAAUACAGAAAGUGCCACAGAAAAUUAAACUACUCUGCUGCAAAGUAGAGAAAAGGUGAAAAGGCGGGGUAAGAGCCCACCGCCUAUUUAGCAAUAAAUAGGGCAGGGUAAACCUUAUGUGUUGCAAAGCCAAAUAGGCAAGAAAUAAAAGGGUGUUCGCUUAGCACCAACAACCUCAGGUUGUUUUUCUUGCGGGUAGGCUGCUACAUCUUAUUAGUGAUAAUAAGAGCAGAUAAAUGAUAGUCGCAAAUUUGGUCAAAAGCCAUUUUUGAACAGAACCCGGCUUAUAGUUUUGCUAAAGAU
rnacentral:RNase_P_RNA from 1 species